rnacentral:lncRNA from 1 species
UUUUUUUUCUUUGUACCGGGGAUUGAAUUCAGGUUCUUGUGCUUGCACAGCAGGCAGCGAAACCAUUGAGCUAAAUCCCCAGCCCUGGAUAGACACAAUCUUUAAAGAAACUCAUGUUGCUUAGAGUAGUGAACAUGAAGUAGAGUAUUAGCUGCAUUGUCUUUAUCUUUUUUUUAAAUUAAAGGAGAGUAGAUUGUUAGUCAAUUCUUUCAUCAUAAAUUAAUGGAGACUUCCUGGAAGAUGGUGGAGUGGUGAACAGCAGAGAGGGAGCCUCUCCGAGAUUUGGUGUCCUGACACUGGAAUAUAGCAGCAUGAGGAGGAGAAGGAGGAGGGAAGUAGGUCCCUGAAACCCAGGAAGGGUCUGAGUUGAGAAUUGAAAUCCACUGGGAGACUGAAGAGAGUGAUUUUAACGAAGAAGAGGUAGGUAGCAAGCAGUGCUCUAUCCCAGAGUCUGGACUCUGUGAGGGAAAGGCAGGCCAGCUGUGCAGAUGCUGGCGACUCCAGAGGCCUCCACGGAGAAGCACACCAGGGGAACACAGCAGUGGAUGCAGCCGAGUGCAGCGGAGUACAGCGGCUGCAGGUCUUGUCAGAGUUGUUCUAUGUAAACAAGAUCACUGGCUAACAUCCCAAGGAAAGCAAGUGCAUCCAACAAGUCUUCCAGGUGGAGCAAGUGGCAGACAGCGGCGCGGGCACCUGAGUUAGAAUCUAGUCUGUGCCUCUUAUCAGCUCUUCGACUUUGGACAGGUUGGACAAUCGUAACUGGACUUUCUUCAUCUAGAACAAAGGCUGAGCAGAGAAGCUGAGAAUCUUGUGGAGGACCAGCAGCCAUCCUUCUAGCUUCAGGAAAAAUCCGACAGUGAGGCUGGCAGAGAAGAGCCCCUCUGGACUUCUUUUUAUGUCAUCAAGAGGUGAGCAGCUUUGCUCUACCACAUGGUUGUCCCCACCAUGAUAUUCUACCUCACCCUAGGUCGAGAAGCAAUGGAGCCAGCCAGCCAUGCACUGAACCCUCCACAACUGUGAGCCAAGAUAAACCCUCCUCCUACUCCGUGCAGAUGGCGGGAUUGUUCACAUAGCAGGACAGAUUUGCCAUCAAAGGGACAAGAAAUCUUGGCAGGAGGCACGUGAGUGCCAGUGGCGAGUCUCUCGUUGAUCCUGGCAUCUGUCCAGCAGAUCCUUCCUUUUCAGUGAAUGAGGAAGAAAGACCGCUUAUUCUGCUCUGCCAAGGCUAAUCAGACUCAAGUUUUCCCAGCACUGGAACUUGCCAGCUUUCAGCUGCAGAGAGAAAGCAGAUACAUUUUAGGAAAGAACAACAAAUGCACAUUCCCUUCAACCUUGAACCCCGCACAACUUCACAAUCUACAUAAUCAUUUGCAAAGGAGACCGCUUCGCAGAGGGGCCCUGGAUUUGAGCGCUCAGGAGGCAAAGUGAUCCUGGGGGUGCUUACCAAAGAACUGCUUUCUUUGCCUAGUUGUUGACAUUAACCAAGAUUUUCUUUUCUUUUUUUUUUUCUGGUUUUCAGAAUCGAACUCAGGACCUUGCGCUUGCCAGGCAGGUGUGGCAUCACUGAGCUACAUUCCAGGCCCUUCUUUUUUAUUAAAAAUAAAUUAAUGAAGCCUGCCCAGCCAGACUUCCCAAGUUGGUGUGGACUUCUUGGAGCCGUGUAUUGGCAACCAGGAUCUCACUCUGUACUUCAGAUUGGCCUUAGCCCAGCUGACCUCAAACUCAUGGUGAUCCUCCUGCCUCAGCUUCCCAAGUGCUGGGAUAACAGGCUAAUGGAACAAAACCCCACAGUGUGAGUGGCUUAUGAACAACAGAGAUUUAUUUCUCACAGUCCUGGAGGCUGAAGGUACAGGAUCAAGGCACUCAGACUCGGUAUCUGUCCAUGUAAGAAUAUGACCUGACGUGACACAUUCUGCUGACCUUCUACCUUUUGCUUACUGAUGAGAAUGAAAAGGAACUAUGCAUUGUCCUGUUUUUCCCUCUCUAAUGUCAUCAUUUCAGUGUGUGAGUCAGCUUUCCACUGCUGUAACAAAGACCUUAGAUGAAUCAGCUUAUAAAGAGAAAAGGUUUGUUUGGAUUCACAAUUUUGUAAGUUUUAGCCCAUGAUUUGUUGACCUUGUUGCUUUGGGUUUGUGGCAAAGCAACACAUCCUUGGGGGGAAGGAGGAGCAUGGCAAGCAAAACUGCUCAGCUCACCACCAGAAAAAGGAAGGGACUGGGGUCCUCUGCCCAUUUCAAGGCCCCCCAGUGAUCUAAAGCCUUUGGACUCAGCCUUGCCUCUUAGAGAUUCCACCACCUCCUGGCAGCACCUGGAUCCACACCUUUAACACAGACUGAGCCAUAGCAGGUGCCUAACACAGGUGUGUGAUUCAAAUGAAAAAGGAUAUGAUGGCUGGACUUGGUGGUGAGCAUCUGAAAUCCCAGCACUCUGGGAGGCUGAGACAGGAGGAAUACAGGUCUGUGCCCAGCCUGGGCAACUUAGUGAGACCUUUGUAAUGACUUUGUAUCAAAAAAAAAGAAAAGGUCUGGAGAGUUAGCUCAGCGCAGAGGCUCUUGGUUCAACCCCUAUUAUUAAAAAAAAAAAAAAAAUCCACCAACAAACAAAACUAACAAGGCCAGGAUAGCUGUUCUUACUGGUUACAACACAAAUAACUUCCUUUAAGAAAAACUUGUUUCAAAGGAAAAUGCAGGGGCUUGGGCCACCAGGAGUCACAGUGAAUGCCCAAGUACCAUAGGCCCAACCAGAACUCUGUGCGUGGUGUGUGACAAAUGUGACAUGCAAAUGGGUGGCAAGGAGUGGUGUGAGCACACACAAACACAUAUUGUAUGUCUUCCACUGUGCUCAUUCUCCAUUAAAAUUUUUUUCUUAAUUUUGAGACAGAGUCUCCCUUAACCACUAAAAAGCCCAGGCUGGAUUGAACUUGUGAUCCUCCUGCUUCAGCCUCCCAGAGGGCUGGGAUUAUAGGUGUGUGUCAUUCCCCCUAUCUUCUCCAUUACUUUAAGGGACUUUACUCAUAAAUCGCAGGUUCACAGAUAAAUGACUAGGAGUUUUAAGACAGCAAUAAGGGAAGAUGGAACUGAGAUAGGAGGUAGGGCAUGGCUUAGACUGGCUAGGAAGAGAGGUGGGGGGAUCCCAGGAUCUACACAGCUCUACCUCGCAGGACCCUGGAUGUAGAACUUCUGACAGGUUCCCACAAGAUGUGAACAGCAUAGAAGGACACAGAUGGCAGGAGGAGCCUGUUAUGGUGUCUCUUUCAUGGUAGCCUGCCCUGCGUCUUUCAGACCAGGGUGUACUUUGAUUUUUGUUUUUCUCUUUUCCUCUCUUGUUCAGCCCAAGUUUACACUGCAGAGGCAGUUGCUCCCUUACCCCUUCACCCCUCACUUUGCAAAUAAACCCUGUCACCGCUUUGAGCUUGCCUUGUUCAUUGCUUUGUUCAAGGUGAGAAGGUCCUGGAAUAUGUUUAAUCGGUGGGCCAUUUCUAAAAGAAGCUACCUUGGUGCAAGGAGAUCCUGCACUGAUCUAACUGUUGGCUGUGUUAUGGUGGGUGAUGGGGCCUGGGCAGGUUCCUGGGUGUGCGACUAACAAACAGUUGGACAUGACACAUGAUGUUCACCCUGUUAUGAUCACAUGUAUGAGAUGCAGUCCCUACACAUGAACCUCCAGUGAGCUCUAAGUGAGGAAAGGCUACAGGUCAUGCAGCAGGUCUGACCCUGCCAGGCUGACAGCACAUAACACAAACAGCCCUCUCCUUAAGCAGCCACCAGGCAGCGCAGGCAUCUUUUUCAUUUCGAGGCAUCAACUGAGGAUUGAUAAAGUCAUGGCGGGACAACUGUAGUCUGACCCCGAACUGACACAGCAG